rnacentral:rRNA from 1 species
UACAGAGGGGGCAAGCGUUGUUCGGAAUUACUGGGCGUAAAGGGCGCGUAGGCGGCCGCCUAAGUCAGACGUGAAAUCCCUCGGCUCAACCGGGGAACUGCGUCUGAUACUGGGAGGCUUGAAUGCGGGAGAGGGAUGUGGAAUUCCAGGUGUAGCGGUGAAAUGCGUAGAUAUCUGGAGGAACACCGGUGGCGAAGGCGGCAUCCUGGACCGACAUUGACGCUGAGGCGCGAAAGCUAGGGGAGCAAACGGG